ensembl:lncRNA
CAAGCCGUUAGCCAAAGCUAGCCCACUGCAGGUGUGUUGACACUGCUAUCAGCCCUGCAGAUAGAAACCUGCUGUGGUUGGAGAAGCAGAUCAUCAUGGAACUAAGUGGAAAGGGAGAGGAGAAAGUUCUAUUUGGACUUGAGAUUGUAGUGGGAGUUUUAAUGAAGUGGAUGCGGAAGGGUGAAUUCCUGUCGUGUUCUUUUGGACACACUUGCUGAAAAGUGAGGAAGGAGAAUCACAGAUGAUUGAGGUGCUCCAGGACCUUAAUCAUCUUUCUGGCCCAGACUGGACUGUCCUAGUGUCACUGAGUGAAGCACUGAUAUUCUUUAUUUGAAUAUAAUCUUUUAUAAUCUUAGACACUGUUCAAUUGAGGGGAGAGUAAAGCAUGAGCAAUUGAAAAAAUAUAUGCCUGGACUUCAAAAUUAAAUCUGAAAACUGUAAUUCUUCAGAUGGGGAUCAUGUAACUAUCAAGUCUGCAUUUCUGCUCUGCUGAGAAGACCUUUGUACCUAUGAAGAGCCUGCAAAGCCUAAUGAGAAGAUAGAUCUAGGGAUUCAAGCUUGGGAACUGGAUAAAAACAGUUAUAGAGACGGUGAUGUUUCAGAGUCUAGCAUUUCUGUUACAAAGACUCACAUCUGGUCAUUUCAUACCACAGGGCCUUUCUACUUAUGCUUCUUUACUGUUGUGCUGGACAGCAACGAGGAGCAAAACAUCUUUUGAAAUUCUUCUUGGGAUUGGAUACCUCUAUGGAUAAAAGAGGAAGUCUUUUUGUGUUACUUCUUAUUCAGUGCCAGUGCAGUACUGGAGAAGUAGAAAAGAUCAAGCAGAUUGAAAGCAUUGCUUUAAAUGCAAUAGUGCAUCACUUGAUACACAGCCAAGUGAAGAAACUGAGAAGAAAACUUCCUUCCUCUGUGGACUUUGAAUCAAAACUCAUACCCAUAUGUUGUCAAUUUUUUUUAUCCUGUUCUAUUUUCUUUUUCAUUGAUUGACUGAUUGAAAAUAUCUCAUACAUUUCCAUAUAUUCUAUCGAAAAGAACAAUUUUUUUUGUUGUUAUAAAUGAACAUUAGUGGUUAUAGAAACUACUUACAUAUGCUUAUGACACCAUCUGCAAAUUUUAUUUGUAAUGUAUUUUAAAAUCUUUUUCUGAAAGAUCCAUUAGUUUCGUGAAUAUUUCUCCAUUUAUGAGGUUUAAGACUGCUUUAUUUUUGACAUAACC